rnacentral:tRNA from 1 species
GGAGAGGUGGCAGAGUGGUUGAAUGCGGCGGUCUCGAAAACCGCUAAGGUGUAACAGCCUUCGAGGGUUCGAAUCCCUCCCUCUCCG